CUUUUCAGGUUCUUUCUUAAAAGGGGCAUCCCCGCCCCUCUGUGGGCAGUUGACCCUUUAGAAUUCCAGAAGGUCAGGGAUGAGAAAGAUGACAGGGCUGAGCACUUCCUGCCAAUCGCCUCAUUUCACCCUACACAGGGCAGCCCCACCUCCCCCUCAUCGUACAGGAGGGGGCACCGAUGAACUUGUCGGUUUAGCCCAGGGCUUUCCUGCAGCUCUUCUACAAUGUUCCUCUUUUCUUUUCUUUGGAUGGAGAGAGAGAGAAUCUUAAGCAGGCUCCUCACCCAGUGCGUAGCCCCACUCAAUCUCAUGACCCUGAGAUCAUGACCUGAGCCAAAAUCAAGGGUCGGAGGCCUAACCAACCCAGCCAGCCAGGCGCCCCUCUUCUACAGUGUUUCUGAACCCCCAGGGCACAUUUGGCAAUGUUUGGAGACAUUACUUUUCUCUUACAACAGGGAGGGGGCGCUACUGGCAUCUAGUGGGUAGAGGCCACGGAUGUUGUUAAACAUCCUACAAUGCCCAGGACAGGCCCCCACAAGAAAGAAUGAUCCAGGCUAAAACAUCAACACUGCCAAGUCUGAGAAGGCCUGAUCUAGACAGAUGUACUCAGACAAACCCACGCAAUGUCGGUCCCCAGCUAAAAACUCCUGGUCUCCAACCUCUCAGUUUAUGGAAGAGGAAAGAACAGAAGGCAGGGUGGAUAAAUGGCUUGUUUCGGGGCACCCAGCAAGAUGCCCUUGCAACCUGUGCCGUGAGCGCUGGGCCCGCACACAGCAGGAGCUCUGCAGAGAAGAAAACCAAGAGAGGACUGGGUUCCGGUCUUCAGCUCCCCUCAAGCAUCUGCAGCUCUCUGCUGUCCUCUAGCGGACGCUGACUGCGCCAUCCUGAGGGGACCCCUGGCGUGCCCGGAGAGGCCAUGUCAUCCUUCAGAUUCCAAAGGCCAUUUGCCACGUAAGGAAACCUCAUGGUUGAUUCCUGGAUAGAGCCAGACACCUAAUUUCUUCCCCUUCCUCCCAAACAGAAGUCAGUUUUGGGUUGGUGUGUGCAUAUUGCUUUGUGUGAAGCUAGAAGGCGGCAAUUCUUCUUGGUAUUGACAUUCAUUGAUCAUUUUCCGUUUUUACAGGUGUGAUUACCUUGAACCCCAAUACAUUUCUGCAAACGUCCUUAUUCCACGGUCGAAGCCAAACUUUAUCACCCGCACCCCCAGCGUGGGGACAAGCUGGCCGUUUCCUCGAACCUGUGUCCUCCUCUCCGGGCCACAGUCUGGUGUGCAAACCGAGGAACAGCAGAGGCCGCGUCUGCUUGGCUCACAGCUCUGUCUCGGGGCCCAUUAGGGGCCGGGCGCAGCGCUGAGGCCCAGUGUCUGUGCGGAACGGGGUGCGCACCCCAGGCAACCGUGUGGCCUCGCUGCUCCCUGCGCCUCCUUCCUCCUAUUGAGAGCCCCCCGCAGAGGGUCGGGGCAUCCACUGGGGCAUCACGGGGAGGGGGGGGGCGCGGGAUCUGCGCUGAUGAGCGCCAACGGACUCUGGGAAGAGGCAUAUUUAAAGGGAAGGAUGGGGGAUCCCUGGGUGGCGCAGCAGUUUAGCGCCUGCCUUUGGCCCAGGGCGCGAUCCUGGAGACCCGGGAUCGAGUCCCACGUCGGGCUCCCGGUGCAUGGAGCCUGCUUCUCCCUCUGCCUGUGUCUCUGCCUCUCUCUCUCUCUGUGUGUGUGGCUACCAUAAAUAAAUAAAAAUUAAAAAAAAUAAAUAAAGGGAAG
rnacentral:lncRNA from 12 species